CAAUACUCUCUCUAGCAUCCAAACUCUCUCAAAAAAUCGACUUAGGGGGGAAAAUAAGUUUGAGAAACGCUGAUUUUGAAUAUGGCUUAAACACAACAACAACAACACGAGCGAACAAAGUAGCAGUGAUUCAUAAACGUAUCUACUACCUUAAUAAUUGUAGUUUGGUUGCUAGGGAGGAUUUUGGGAAAAAUAAAAAUAG